rnacentral:rRNA from 1 species
GACGAACGCUGGCGGCGUGCCUAAUACAUGCAAGUCGAGCGAAGUUUUUCUGGUGCUUGCACUAGAAAAACUUAGCGGCGAACGGGUGAGUAACACGUAAAGAACCUGCCUCAUAGACUGGGACAACUAUUGGAAACGAUAGCUAAUACCGGAUAACAGCAUUAACUGCAUGGUUGAUGUUUAAAAGUUGGUUUUGCUAACACUAUGAGAUGGCUUUGCGGUGCAUUAGCUAGUUGGUGGGGUAAAGGCCUACCAAGGCGACGAUGCAUAGCCGACCUGAGAGGGUGAUCGGCCACACUGGGACUGAGACACGGCCCAGACUCCUACGGGAGGCAGCAGUAGGGAAUCUUCCGCAAUGGGCGAAAGCCUGACGGAGCAACGCCGCGUGAGUGAAGAAGGAUUUCGGUUCGUAAAGCUCUGUUGUUAGGGAAGAAUGAUUGUGUAGUAACUAUACACAGUAGAGACGGUACCUAACCAGAAAGCCACGGCUAACUACGUGCCAGCAGCCGCGGUAAUACGUAGGUGGCAAGCGUUGUCCGGAAUUAUUGGGCGUAAAGCGCGCGCAGGUGGUUUAAUAAGUCUGAUGUGAAAGCCCACGGCUCAACCGUGGAGGGUCAUUGGAAACUGUUAAACUUGAGUGCAGGAGAGAAAAGUGGAAUUCCUAGUGUAGCGGUGAAAUGCGUAGAGAUUAGGAGGAACACCAGUGGCGAAAGCGGCUUUUUGGCCUGUAACUGACACUGAGGCGCGAAAGCGUGGGGAGCAAACAGG